rnacentral:rRNA from 1 species
GAUGAACGCUGGCGGCGUGCCUAAUACAUGCAAGUCGAGCGAACGGACGAGAAGCUUGCUUCUCUGAUGUUAGCGGCGGACGGGUGAGUAACACGUGGAUAACCUACCUAUAAGACUGGGAUAACUUCGGGAAACCGGAGCUAAUACCGGAUGAUAUUUUGAACCGCAUGGUUCAAAAGUGAAAGACGGUCUUGCUGUCACUUAUAGAUGGAUCCGCGCUGCAUUAGCUAGUUGGUAAGGUAACGGCUUACCAAGGCAACGAUGCAUAGCCGACCUGAGAGGGGGAGCGGCCACACUGGAACUGAGACACGGUCCAGACUCCUACGGGAGGCAGCAGUAGGGAAUCUUCCGCAAUGGGCGAAAGCCUGACGGAGCAACGCCGCGUGAGUGAUGAAGGUCUUCGGAUCGUAAAACUCUGUUAUUAGGGAAGAACAUAUGUGUAAGUAACUGUGCACAUCUUGACGGUACCUAAUCAGAAAGCCACGGCUAACUACGUG